rnacentral:rRNA from 1 species
GGUGGUCGAUGGCUGUCGUCAGCUCGUGUCGUGAGAUGUGGUUAGUCCGCAACGAGCGCAACCCCUCGUCCUAUGUUGCCAGCAUUAAGUUGGGGACGUCAUGGGAGGACUGCCGGCGGUCAAGCCGGAGGAAGGUGGGGGAGUGACGUCAAGUCAUCAUGCCCCUUAUGUCUUGGGCUGCACACGUGCUACAAUGGCCGGUACAAUGGGCUGCGAUGGGGUGACCCGGAGCGAAUCCCACAAAACCGGCCCCAGUUCGGAUCGAAGGCUGCAACUCGCCUUCGUGAAGUCGGAGUUGCUAGUAAUCGCGGAUCAGCAUGCCGCGGUCGAAUACGUUCCCGGGCCUU